GGAUGUGGUUCAGUGGUAAAGUGCUUGCCUGGCAUGCAUGAGGCCCUGUGUUCAAAUCCCAAGCACCA
rnacentral:tRNA from 1 species